UGUGAGACCACAAGGUUGACAAAUUCGAAGUCAUUGUUGCUUUGAGAAAGGGAGAAAAAGAAGAGAAAAGGAAGAUCUCUCUCUCAUUCUUAUCUGGGAUAGUGCGGAUCUUUCUAUCUAACUAGCCCUAGCAGAUUUGAGCUUCUGUCUAGUAUAUAUAAUAGUUCAUUAUUCUUUUUUCUAUUGAUUGUGAUUUAAGAUUUUUCAAUGACAUUACAAAGGCACCCACCUACUUUUGUAUUUUGCUUCAACUGGGAAUUUUUGAUAUAGUUGUAGUUGAGUUUCAAGGGUUUUCUUUGAAUUUGAGCUCAAGUUUUGUUAUGGGGUGGUGGAGGAUGCUGCCAUAUAUAAGCUGGAAUCACAGGCUUCUGUUUGGAAGAUCUUAAAGAAAACUGGAGUUCAGAUUAUCAAUAAUGCAGGAAUGAUGGUCUACUGGAAUUUCAAUACAUUGGCUGGCCCAUUUCGCCCUACUGUAACAUAAAUUAUGGCAGGCUCUAAUGGAUCAGCUCACUUAAAGACACUCAGCAUGCAAAACACAUUUGGAACAUUGGUUGUGACUCUUACAACUACUGUACAAUAGAUUAGCUUGCUUAAAGACACUCAGCAUGCAAAACCCAUUGGUACAUUGGAUAUGACUCUUAACAACUACUGUACAAUAGACCGGCUCACUUAAAGACACUCAGCAUAAUAUCUGGCUCGGAACACUUGCAACUAGGGAGAAGCUCUUGACGGACAGAAAUGGGAACUGAAUUUCUGUAUAAGAUGUAUAUACCGGGUUAUCAUUCUACAAGGGAUCUGGAUGACAGUAGUGGGGAUGUUAGAUGGCCUUCACAUCAUGAAAACAAGGCCUUUGGGCAGUACCAUGACAUGCUUGCUGCAAAGCCAGAAAUAGAUAGAUACUCUGGAUAUGACAAGGAACACUUGAGGCAAACCAUACUGAGGCAUGAAAACACAUUCAAACAUCAGGUCCAUGAACUGCACCGGCUUCACAAAAUACAAAUGGACAUAAUGAAUGAAGUCCGGAGCAAACAAUCAGUCAUAUGCCUUGAUCAUGUGGGAACAUUGCAAUCAAAUCCUUUUGCCUUUCCACAUGAAGGAGACCGAAGGAGGUGUCACAAUCCCAGUUUGCCUUUAGUGGCUAUGAAUUGUCAUAUACCAUCUGCCUCAGGUGCUGAUAGUGUCCAAUCACAUUUUGGUUCCAUUAAUGUGCAGAACAUGCAAUCCGGAUGUGGCUCAACACACGGUGGUUCCAGGCUUAAGGAUGAAUACAAGCACAAGAAGCUUCAGAGGAGAUUAUUUGACCUUGAAUUGCCUGGUGACAAAUACAUAAAUGAUGAAGAUGACGCACGUGGGGCAUUUGUAGGGUCAGGGGUGGAAACUCACCCUCCAAAUUGGAAUUGUAACGUUACUUAUGAGAAAAAUUGCAAUAUGUCCACCCCAAGUAGUGUGUACUCUGGCUGCAAUGGUGAUGCUUUUAGUUCCAUUACACACUUAAGUAGGACCCCAGGUUUUGCAGAUUUGAAUGAACCUUUCAAGGUUGAGGAGGCACAUGGUACAAUUUCUUUUGAUACUCUAGGCAAGGCUACCUAUUCUAAAGAGGAGAUACAGGGGCGGGAUUUAUCUGCAAAUUCAUCCCCAGGCUUCCAAUGUUUGGCCAAGGAAGUUUCUCAAAGACAUAAAGAAAAGGAUGAGGGAAUCAGCCAAUGUAAUCAGCAUUUAGAUAAAGAAUGGGGGAAGAAAGGCCGACCACCUCUUAACUUCAACCCUGGCCAUAUAAGCACCAGAACUUUCAAUAGAACUUUUUAUGGAGAAUAUUUGCCUACACAAAGUGAGUCAUUGCAUGUUGGCUGCAUGAAAGCCCAUGAGCCUGAUCAGAAUAAACCAGAACAAUUGAGAAAGAAGACAAUUUUUGGUGUAGAAAUCUCCGAUAGAAAUCAUGAUGCAUCUGUUAUGUUUUCAGAUACACUUCUGCAGCCACCUGCUCCUCCAUCUAAUGUAGUAAAUUCCGAGUCAUCCUCCAUUUCAUCUUGGAAGAAGCCUCCAGCUAGCUUGAGACGGAAUGCAAUAUAUGUUCAGGGAAACCCUUGCUUUAAUACCUUUCCUGAAUCAAAUAAGAGUUCAGCAACAUUGAUUCAUUGCCCUGAAGUUUCUACAGAUUGGUCGAUUGUUAAUGAAAAAGUGGAUUUUGUUCCAGGUCCUGAAGUUGAAUUGUCCUAUAAAAAUGACCUCUGCUUCGUUUCUCAGUCUCAGUCCAAGGAAAAACGAGUUUACCAUGCAUCAGCAGGUCACUCGAAUGGUCACAGUGCUAGUUAUUCAGCUUCUGAACUAGCUCCUCAGCAUAGGCCUCCAAAUAACCCAAGGGGUUCAGGCUGGCUGGAUAAUAUAAAAUCUGCAGAGGAAGUAAACCUCAAUGCAGUACUUCCAAAAUGUUGCCCAAAUGAAGCAAUUUCUGAUUCAAAUCUUAUUUCCAUUGGUAUUCAAAGGAGGGAAGAAAUUCCACUAGGAGGGUUAUCUUGGCUGAGAGCUAUUUCACCUUGUGAAGGAAAUUCUUCUGUUGAAAUGCCCGACUCUCAAAAGGUGAAUUUGGAUUCCUUGCAAAGAAAAUAUGAUGAGCUUUUUGCUUGCGAUUCUGGAACAAUAAAGGGCCUCAAUCAAAACUAUAUCCAGGAUUCGUCAUCAGCAACAAAUGUGCAUGAUGCCAAAGACAGAAGAAUAGGAGGUGACUGUUCAAGCAAUAGGAAGAUUCUUGGUGUUCCCAUUUUUGAAAAGCACAUGUCCAAGGAUCAGCCUUCUGCCAGCUCUGGCCUGAAGCCUAGUUGUUGUGUUUCAGAGACUAAUGAUGCUAGCUUUAUCAAAGGUGGGUUACUUCGUACUGAUCUGAAUCAGGAUCCUAUGGAAUCUGAAUCCGUGGAGACCCAAAACACAAAGAUUUUAAAUGCGGAAAGGCAUUCAGUUGAUUGUAGAGCUAGCUUAAGACACCCAAUUGAUUUGAAUGUGAGUGUGACUGAAGAAGAGGCUCAAGUGAGUAUUUGUUCUCCAAGAACCAAGGAUGAGAUUGCAAUUGAGAUAGAUUUGGAGGCGCCAGUUGUCCUUGAAAAUGAAAUAGACAUUAUAUCUGGUGGUGAAUUUCUAGAGAGUAAAGUUAAAGAACCAUUUCAGUCAAUAACUGAUGAAUCCAAGGACUUUCGUGGAGGCUUUUUGAUGGCUGCAGCUGAGGCUUUAGUUUCUAUCUCAUCUUCUGGUGCAUGCAAGUUUCAAGACAAUGCUCCAUGCCAUGACUCACUACAGUGGUUCACAGAGAUAGUUUCUUUGUAUGAAGGUUACAUUGAGAAUGAUGUAGGAUCAAUUUCAGUGCACGAGAAUAUUACUGAUUGUGAAGAUCCAAAAUCAGAUGUGGUUGAUUUUUUUGAGUAUAUGACCUUAAAUUUAACUGAAACCGUGGUAGAAGAGCAUAAUUUUGAGCCAAUGGUUUUGGAAAGCAUAAAAGAUGAAACAUCAUUGCCAAGACGUCCUCGGAGAGGUCAGGCCAGGAGAGGAAAGCAUCGGAAGGACUUUCAAAGAGAUGUACUUCCUGGUCUUGUCUGUUUGUCUAGGAAUGAUGUGACUGAGGAUCUUCAGAUGAUUGAAGGGCUCAUCACAGCAACCGGUGGCACUUGGCGGUCAGGUUUGUCACAGAGAAAUUCUCCUAAAAGAAAGGCAGGAAGGGGGAGAAAGCGUGCAGCCCCAGCUGCUGCCUCUCCAAUAGUAACAGCAGUGAGUCCACCGCAAACUCAGCAACCUGAUUGUGGAGAACUGGGACUUGAGGUAACAGGAUGGGGAAAGAGGACAAGGCGUCCUCCACGACAGAGAUAUCCCAUUAAUAACCCUUAACAACAACAAACUAGAGAGGAAGUCAUUUAGAUUUCAGAAAGGAAUUGUCAUGCAGCCUGUCAAAUUUUCAUGCCAGGGAGAUUCAUAUUGCGUGCAUGCCUUAUUUUCUGAAUCUUUGAUUUGGUGUGACUACUUUGAUAUAUGUGGAGAGCUUUUGUUCAUGGGGAGAAUGAAGGUGAAGUACCAUGAGAAGCAGCGGAGGCUGGUUCUUUGUUGGUUUCUGCAUGUGGGUUUGAUCUAGUUUGGAUGAAUUGCGUUUGAUGUUUACUUGUAGGCAAUGGCUGGCCUUUCUGUACCGAACCAACAUGAGGCUAGGUGAGCUUGAAGUCAGAGAAAAGGAUCGUUGGGAAUUUUAGGACUUAUGAAUCAGCAGUUUUAGGAGUGCUGAAUGUGGAAAGGUAGCAGGAGCUGAGGCGGUCAAGACUCCAAAGAGCAAGGCCUAAAGGUAAGACCAUCCUCCAAAAGAAAGCUUCUUGAAGUUUAUCUUUAAUACUUUAUGGAAUUGUUUCCUUUUGUGUAAAAGGGUAAAUUUUAUUGAAGAGAAAAGGAUUAAAAGACACAACAGAGAGGAUAAGACAUCCUCCAAAAGAAGGAUGAAAAAUCAUAAUAAAAAUUCAGACCAAUCCCACUGAUUGUAAUUUUUCUUGUGAAUCAAUGAUGCUGUAUGUUGCAUGGCUGCACAUGAUUCCAUGAUGUAUCUGUUUGUACAGAUUAUCAAUAAAUUCGAAUCUAAAUUGCGCAAA